rnacentral:rRNA from 1 species
AGUUCGGAGAGUUUGAUCCUGGCUCAGGACGAACGCUGACGGUGUGCUUUAGACAUGCAAGUCGAACGCGAAAGCCCUUCGGGGCGAGUAGAGUGGCGAACGGGUGAGUAACACGUGGGUAACCUGCCCCUCGCAGGGGGACAACCGGGGGAAACCCCGGCUAAUACCCCGUACGCUUGCCGGGUCGCAUGGCCCGGCAAGGAAAGGUAGCUUCGGCCAUCCGGCGAGGGAUGGGCCCGCGGUCCAUUAGCUAGUUGGUGGGGUAACGGCCCACCAAGGCGACGAUGGAUAGCUGGUCUGAGAGGAUGAUCAGUCACACUGGGACUGAGACACGGCCCAGACUCCUACGGGAGGCAGCAGUCGGGAAUCUUGCGCAAUGGGCGAAAGCCUGACGCAGCAACACCGUGUGGGUGAGGAAGGCCUUCGGGUCGUAAAGCCCUGUUGUUGGGGACGAAGGGCAAAGGGUUAAUAGCCCCUAGCCUGACGGUACCCUUCGAGGAAGCCCCGGCUAACUACGUGCCAGCAGCCGCGGUAAUACGUAGGGGGCGAGCGUUGUCCGGAAUUAUUGGGCGUAAAGAGCGUGUAGGCGGUUUGGUAAGUCUGCCGUGAAAACCCGGGGCUCAACCCCGGGCGUGCGGUGGAUACUGCCAGGCUAGAGGGUGGUAGAGGCGAGUGGAAUUCCCGGUGUAGCGGUGAAAUGCGCAGAUAUCGGGAGGAACACCAGUAGCGAAGGCGGCUCGCUGGGCCAUUCCUGACGCUGAGACGCGAAAGCUAGGGGAGCGAACAG